rnacentral:tRNA from 1 species
GGGGUUGUAGCUCGGUGGUAGAGCACUUGCCUAGCAUGUAUGAGGCACUGGGUUUGACUCACAGCACUGCA